rfam:Gossypium hirsutum cultivar TM-1 chromosome 10, whole genome shotgun sequence
UAUUAAAAAUUCCAUCCAUUUGUCCAUUUGUACUAUUAAAAACUGACGUGGCUAAUAAAACAAUCGAGCAAUGACACAUGACAUGCCAUGUGUAUCUCAUGUUGAUGUACACGAAUCUGUUUUUAAUAGUAGAAAUUGAUGAAAUUUUUAACA